GGGGGUUCCAAAGGAGGGAGUUUCAAAUCCUAUUUAAAGCCAAGCCUCUGGCCUAGCAAAAUCACUCUGGCUGCAGUGAUCCUUGUCUUCCUUCUGGCCUGCUGCAGCUACUGCCGGUGAAAUAGCUGGGAAGGUUUUCAUUCUGUCCUCCCGUGCUGUGCCAGUCUGACACUGGUCUGGAAUUCCUUCUUUUUUCUCCUGACUGGUGUGUAUGGCAGAAGAUCUUCAGGACAAAGAGGGGAUUCCCCCUUAGGAGGCAAUUAUUAGACCUCUUCUAAAGAAGCCUGCACUAGAUCCUCAGAGUUGGGCAAUAUUAGGCCUGUCUCCAACCUCCUGUGGCUGGGCAAGGUAACUGAGAGGGUGGUGGCCUCUCAGCUCCAAAUGGUCUUGGAGGAAACUGAUUAUCUAUACCCAUUUCAAACUGGCUUCUGGGCGGGCUAUGGGGUGGAGACAGCCUUGGAUGGCCUGAUGGAUGAUCUCCAAUUGGCAAUUGACAGAGGAAGUGUGACUCUGUUGGUCCUUUUGGACUUCUCAGCGGCUUUCGAUACUAUCAACCAUAGUAUCCUUCUGGAGCAUCUGAGGGGGUUGGGGGUGGGAGGCACUGUUUCACAGUGGUUCCGCUCCUACCUCUCGGACAGGUUCCAGAUGGUGUCGAUUGGAGAUUGUUGCUCUUCAAAAUCUGAGCUUAAGUAUGGUGUCCCUCAAGGCUCCAUACUCUCUCCAAUGCUUUUUAACAUCUACAUGAAACCGCUGGGAGAGAUCAUCAGGGGAUUUGGAGCUGGGUGUUACUAGUACGCUAAUGACACCCAGAUCUACUUCUCUAUGUCAACUUCUUCAGGAGUUGGCAUAUCCUCCCUAAAUGCCUGCCUGGAAGCAGUAAUGGGCUGGAUGAGGGAGAAUAAACUGAAGCUGAAUCCAGAUAAGACGGAGGUACUUACUGUGCGAGGUCAGAACUCCAGAGACGAUUUUGAUCUGCCUGUUCUAGAUGGGGUCACAUUUCCCCAAAAGGAACAGGUCAGCAGUCUGGGAAUACUCCGGGAUCCACACCUCUCCUUGGUUUCUCAGGUUGAGGUGGUGGCCAGGGGUGCUUUCUAUCAGCUCCGGCUGAUACGCCAGCUGCAUCCGUUUCUUGAUAUCAAUGACCUCAAAACAGUGGUACAUUUGUUGGUAACCUCCAGACUUGACUUCUGUAAUGUGCUCUACGUGGGGCUGCCUUUGUAUGUAGUCCCGAAACUUCAGUUGGUUCAGAAUGCAGCAGCCAGGUUGGUCUCUGGGUCAUCUCGGAGAGACCACAUUAUUCCUCUGUUGAUGGAGCUACAUUGGCUGCCGACAAGUUUCCGGGCAAAAUAAGAAGUGCUAGUUAUAAAGCCCUAAACGGCUUAGGCCCUGGGUAUUUAAGAGAGCGUCUUCUUCACUAUGAACCCCACUGCUCAUUGAGGUCAUCUGAGGAGGUCCGUCUCCAGUUACCGCCAACUCAUUUGGUAGUGAUACAGAGAUGGACCUUCUCGGCUGCUGCCCCAAGAUUGUGGAAUGCGCUUCCUGCUGAGUUACGAUCCUCCCCAUCUCUGGCUAUUUUUUUUAAAAAAUUGAAAACCCAUUUUUUUACCCAAACCUUCUCAAGUUUUUAAUUAAAAAGUACUGUUAAUUUUAUGGUUUUUAAAUAACUGUAGUGUUUUAAUUUUUAUAUGUGUUUUCAUUGUUGUUAGCCGCCCAGAGACAUAAGUUUGGGCGGGGAAUAAAUUUAAUAAAUAAAUAAUAAUAAAUAAUA